GGUCAGCGGUUUCCCGCUGCCCACUACAAAUCGUUUAGUCAAGACUAAACCACUCCACCACCCUGUGCUGCACCCUACAGCAUUUACCCUGCAGCACUCCCAUGCAAUGUGAGCCCCACCCAACCACGUUUAUUCUCGCGCCCCAAGCCAGCCAUGGAGCGCGCGUCUCAAUCGCUCACUCAACAAACCUUCGCCUGAACCCAACUUAUGGGUUCGAAUUUCAACUUCCGAUUCUAAUACCAACACAUCCUGAAUGUACAACACCGCCUUACUACAAUAUACGAAUUAAAAGAAUCUUCUGGAGUUUAAUUUAAUUAUUAUUCUCCCUUUGUGUUGGCCAACCUGGCCCGUACAAAAUGGUGACCCCGAACAAGAUACCGAACGCGAUGCUUCAACGCAGAAUCGCCUUCAACACGAUGCUUCAACGCAAAAUCGCUUUCAACAAGAUGCUUCAACGCAGAAUCGCCUUCAACAAAUCAAGCCAUCGAGUGACAGAACCAACAUACACAUUCGGCAGACCGCCGAACGACGAGCUUUCGCCAUGAUGCCGUCACAACACCGCCAACACCAAUGCUGUCAGCAGCCACGCCUCCUCACAUGCAAGCAACCGUGGCCGCCGCCAAGGCCAAAUCUUUGGACAGCAGCUGUCCUUCGAACCUACACUUACCAAGGAUCGAACCUCUCCACAGAAGCCGUCAGACAACACUGCACCGCGCUUCCAAAAACUGUCGCUGCACCUACUCACAAUUUUGCUCCACACGAGUUUUAUGCAGAACUCUCGUCUGAAUCAGAGCAUACAUCAGCGACGCCGACACGAGCCUUCAAACUCGGACCGACACGGCAAGUAUGUGACCUGCAACCCACCGCGCAAACGAGACAUAGCUAUUUCUCGUCACCUUUGGGGACACACCCUGUCGGACACACCUGAAAGAGCUGAUCGGACCAACGACCUUCCAGCACGCCAAGUUCCCCCGGCUGGAAUCAACCAACAUACAGAACUUCCAAGUUCUCCUGUUUUUGGACUCAGCAAAAGUCCAACGCCUCAAAUUCCUCGUUCACUCCAGCCUAUACAAGAGUGACCUUCUCGCCAAGAGACAACUUCUCGCCAAGAGACACCUUCUCGCCAAGAGACACCUUCUCGCCCAGAGACACCUCACCAAGAGAAACAUACUGAGAGUGACCUCCGGUCUCCAAGUGGGGGCCUAUGUAGCGGUCAGCGGUUUCCCGCUGCCCACUACAAAUCGUUUAGUCAAGACUAAACCACUCCACCACCCUGUGCUGCACCCUACAGCAUUUACCCUGCAGCACUCCCAUGCAAUGUGAGCCCCACCCAACCACGUUUAUUCUCGCGCCCCAAGCCAGCCAUGGAGCGCGCGUCUCAAUCGCUCACUCAACAAACCUUCGCCUGAACCCAACUUAUGGGUUCGAAUUUCAACUUCCGAUUCUAAUACCAACACAUCCUGAAUGUACAACACCGCCUUACUACAAUAUACGAAUUAAAAGAAUCUUCUGGAGUUUAAUUUAAUUAUUAUUCUCCCUUUGUGUUGGCCAACCUGGCCCGUACAUAUUUAUU